UUGAAUCAGUUGAUUACAAAAGCCGCUUCAACGUAGAUCAGGUCCUAUAACUUCCAAACGCCUUGCACUCCUCCCCAAAGUAUAUUUCAUUUACAUUACUAAAGCGUUGGCAGAACUAUAUAAAUUUAAACCAAUAAUAGUUUUUAUACUAUCUUAAGCCUCUUUAAAAAGAUAAGAAUAUACAAGCCUAGUUUAAUUACACUAUAACAAUAAAAAAAAACUUAGACAUUUCUUAAGUUUGCAGAAUAUCAGCGAUUACUUUUAAGAAUUUAAUAAUUCUUAUCAAUGGUUGAAAGCUUAACUAUACAACUAUAAUACUCAUGUAAAUCACAAAGAAAAUAUAAUAUGUAGCAAUAAAGAUAACGCCAACGGAUAUUGAUAAGUAUUCGCUAGCAGGUAGUUGUUUAUGACUACAAAAACCCAUACCCAAAGAAAGGAUCUGUAUAGCAAUGCUCAAGUAGAGCGAACAACUCACCAACUGCAUGGCCUGAUUGUCGAUAAAUUGCUUUUGUGAAAUAAUUUCGUAAGCGAUUUAUAUUUAUACAUUUUAUAAUGGUAUGUAUAUGGAUAUGUAAGCAACUAUGUAUGGAUAAUCACUCACAUGCAUAUGAAUUUAUUACAUGUACUACAUUAUCUACAUAUGUACUGGCAAGUACAAUAUCAGUUUCCUUCUACCGAAUGCCUUAACCGCAAAUAAUCAGUCAGGCAGACAUCAGAAAAGCAAGUAAUAGGCACUUUCGAGUCCAACGAGUCAUUGAUAGAGCUCAUAUUAAGUUGGCAAAAUGGAAACAAUACAGUCACGCAGUAACACCCUCCAGCCGAGCUGUCACCGAAAAGGAAUCUUGCCGCACACAAAGCGCCUUGGGCGGGUGUAAUGGCCUCUACGUAUAUAAAUGUACACGGCAGCAAGGCGUAACCAAAAUUUUGCUAUCCUUAACAAGUGAAAAGCAACACCUGGCCCUGCGUUUUUACCCCAACUCAAACAUUUGGCUGACAAUCCAUGCGAGAGGAUGAUUUCGACCAACUGACCAAAUUUUGGCUAGGAAAAUACAACACCACCUUCCUCGAAUGCUAGUUGGAAGCUAAAUGAAGGCAAAGGUCGCAUUACAUACACCAAACUGGCAAAUACCAGCGUCCACUAGCUGUACAAUAUGGUUUCAAAACGAAAACUAACUGGGUGCUAACUUUGGUUACGAGUAUUGUGCAAUACAUUCCAGUUUGAUGAAUACUUACACUCGAAAUUCUUGCAGUACAUAUAUUGGUAUAUGCGAUUUAUUGCAUUAAAGGCGCUAACAAUUUCAAUAACUUAUAGAUCGGUUUGGUUUAGGUAUGUAUUUCUUUCAUUAACAAGUUGCACUAUAGAUUUUAAGUUUUGCUGUGCUCAUAAACUAGAUUUUUUUUUCCAAUAAUUAAACGCAGCGUGACACUUUUAACACAAACACGUGCCGCACAUUUCGUUGAAAUGUUUUCAUGAAAUUUUUAACUUUAUUUUUUCACUAUUUUAGUUCAGAAAAGUACAAAAUUUUCACAAUUUUCAGC